rnacentral:lncRNA from 1 species
CCUCUCCACUUUUUAAGAGCUGCCUCUUCCCCCCUCCACUUCUCGUAAAUCACAGGAGUCCUCAAGCUUCAUGAAAUGGGAAUGGACGGAUUCCUACAUGAUUCAAGCAUACAAAUAAAGGAUGAUUUACAGUGUCAUAACUCAUAAUUAUGCAGCAAAUAUGAACUUUGGCCCAUUCCAUCUCUCCAUCUUCUCUUGAUUACUCUUCUCCUCCUGACAUUAGUAUAAAUGCAGCACAAAAUCCUUGUACGACAAAAGGAGGUAUCCAAACUUUGCGUACCUCGAGCUUCUCAUCCAUGAUCCACUGUCCAGGAAUAACUCCAGUUACACUUUUUGAGGAAAAUGGUGACAGGUCACCACCAUUUCUUCAAAUAAGAUAACGGGUGGAACCCAAAUAGGUCACCUGGAAAAAUUUUAAAAUAAAAAGUUAUAAAUAAUGAUGAUGAUGAUGAUAAGAGAGCAACCAAAUCAUACAUCAGAGUGCAGCAGAUAAUUGAAACUACAAACUCCCACUAGUUUGAGCUCCAGAGCACUCUAUGC